AGCUGCCUUCCUGUUCCCUCAUCCUUAGCCUAACACCUUCCCCUCCUUCUGCUAAGGAUCCGUCUUUCCCUGCUCUGCAGAGUGUUGGGGAGCACUCCCUGACCUUUCCCUGCGGGGCAGGAAUGCCUAUAAAUCUAUGUGGACGUCUCAGGGGACCGGGUCCAACCUCCAUUGGCUUUCUGGCCCUAGACACAGGCAGGGGGCAAGGAGUGUCGGGGAAGAAAGCUCUCGUGGAUGUUGAUGACCUUUCUGUGGUCUGGGGUUUAGUGGUUUCCUUGGGUGGAUCUCAGUGUCUGAGAAGGCUGACAGGGCCUGAGCCCCAGGCAUGUGAUCACAGCAGGAGGGCUGGGUCCUCGGGCCACGCAGGGAGGGGGGCCUGGAGGGCUGAGAAGCCAGAGAGGUCAGAGCUCCAUUCCGGGGCUUCGCCUCAGCGGCCCACGGGGUCUGGCCGCUCUCUGCGGGUCACCUCGCUCCUUUCCGGACUUCUCCCAGAAGCGCCACUCUCACCCAUCCCGCCCCCAUUCCAGAAUCUCCGCCUUGACUCUAGGUUACCUCGCGAGUUCUUUGGGGUGCUCGCUUCUUUCCAGAACGGCUUGUUCCAGCACGUCUGGGCGACCUAGCAGGGCCAGACGGCCAUGGAGGCAGCCCUCAUGUCCGUGCUGGACCAGGAUGGAGGGGUCCGCAUGUUGUGGGUGCCUGUGUGAAACCAGGAGGAGGUAGAAAUUCACAUCCCCAUCACCUUCAAUCCGAGCAUUUUGACAUUUCCGUGGCAACCAAAGACAGGCCCCUAUCAGUACACAGUUCAGUGGUCGGAGACAAGUUAAAAUCCGGGAGUUUUUAUGCUUUUUCUCUUUUGUGGGGUUCCUAUCACAUCAUUGCAUUUUGGGAAUCAGAAAAACAAAACAACCCAGCAUGUCAGACCAGGAAGCAAAAUAAAGAAACCCUGGCACACAGAUUUA